UCAGCGGGUUCGGGCGACGCCAUGUUCCGAACCUGGUCAGGGCCGGGAGGCAGCAGCCAUAAGGGGCCUCUGGCGGGCGUCCGUUCCCGCUGAGCGU
rnacentral:SRP_RNA from 2 species